GUGGCGGACGGGUGAGUAACACGUGGGAACGUGCCUUUAGGUUCGGAAUAACUCAGGGAAACUUGUGCUAAUACCGAAUGUGCCCUUCGGGGGAAAGAUUUAUCGCCUUUAGAGCGGCCCGCGUCUGAUUAGCUAGUUGGUGAGGUAAAGGCUCACCAAGGCGACGAUCCAUAGCUGGUCUGAGAGGAUGAUCAGCCACACUGGGACUGAGACACGGCCCAGACUCCUACGGGAGGCAGCAGUGGGGAAUAUUGGACAAUGGGCGCAAGCCUGAUCCAGCCAUGCCGCGUGAGUGAUGAAGGCCCUAGGGUUGUAAAGCUCUUUCACCGGUGAAGAUAAUGACGGUAACCGGAGAAGAAGCCCCGGCUAACUUCGUGCCAGCAGCCGCGGUAAUACGAAGGGGGCUAGCGUUGUUCGGAUUUACUGGGCGUAAAGCGCACGUAGGCGGACUUUUAAGUCAGGGGUGAAAUCCCGGGGCUCAACCCCGGAACUGCCUUUGAUACUGGAAGUCUUGAGUAUGAGAGAGGUGUGUGGAACUCCGAGUGUAGAGGUGAAAUUCGUAGAUAUUCGGAAGAACACCAGUGGCGAAGGCGACACACUGGCUCAUUACUGACGCUGAGGCUCGAAAGC
rnacentral:rRNA from 1 species